rnacentral:sRNA from 1 species
UAGAAAACAUCCAAAAAGAGUAAAGUCUCGUGUCUAUACAUCUAUUUAUAGAAAAAUAAAAAAUAAGAUGCAGCACGUAACAAUGAAUGACAUAAUUAAUUGGCCUUUAAAAUGUCUUUGAAGUCGACCUUUAGGGAGGGUUAUGCAGAUAAAACACUUCCCACCUUUAGUGAUAUUUGGGUUAUUUUUCUAUAUUUAAAUGUGAUUAAGGAGUCCAAUGAACUUAUCGUUGUAGGUAUGAGAAACGUUAUUUACGGGUUCAGACAAAAGUUAUUUAAAUGGAGUAAUUUUAAAAAAAACUAAACAUUUUGAUCCACUAAGGAAGAUGAAACAUUCAUCAAGUUUGUUAAUGACCUAGUUUAGAUCGACUAGCUAGAUGGCUAGCCAUGUGGUUGUCUCGUCAUCGAACAUCAAAUACUAAUUAAUUUUUCUUUUUCUCAAAGUGUAACUUUAUAUAUCAUUCAAAAGAUCUAUACACUGCAAUGCCAAACUCUUGUUUAGCCAGACACAUAUCUACUCGAUUACAUAUAUGUGAUUUGCAUUGUGAAACUUUUUAAUAAUCUCAAACCACAAAAAAGAGCAGUUCAAGCACUACAAACGAUACUAAUAGUGCUUCAGCUUGUUGAUCUAAUUGAAGUAAGCACUAUAAUUUUAAAUUUAAAUCCUUUAUCAAAAAUUUUUUUUAACAAAAAUAACAAAAAUUCGUUCGAUCCAAAUUUAGUUUAUUACAUAAUUUAAAUUUAGAACAAAUUAACUGCAUAUAGAAAUAUAAAAUAUUU